CCACGAGGCGCUGUCUACGAG
rnacentral:siRNA from 1 species